CACGUAGGGGACGAGCGUUGUCCGGAUUCAUUGGGCGUAAAGCGCGCGUAGGCGGCUCGGCAAGUCGGUCGUGAAAUGCCGGGGCUCAACCCCGGGACUGCGUCCGAUACUCUCGAGCUGGAGGCAGGUAGGGGAGAUCGGAAUUCCUGGUGUAGCGGUGAAAUGCGCAGAUAUCAGGAGGAACACCGGUGGCGAAGGCGGAUCUCUGGGCCGAUACUGACGCUGAGGAGCGAAAGCGUGGGGAGCAAACAGG
rnacentral:rRNA from 1 species